rnacentral:rRNA from 1 species
AGGUUAAGUUAAUAAGGGCGCACGGUGGAUGCCUUGGCACUAGGAGCCGACGAAGGACGUGACAAACGACGAUAUACCUUGGGUAGCUGUAAGUAAGCGAUGAUCCAGGGAUUUCCGAAUGGGGGAACCCAACAGGUAAUACCUGUUACCCACAUCUGUUAAGGAUGUGAGGAGGAAGACGCAGUGAACUGAAAACAUCUAAGUAGCUGCAGGAAGAGAAAGCAAAAGCGAUUGCCUUAGUAGCGGCGAGCGAAACGGCAGAAGGGCAAACCGAAGAGUUUACUCUUCGGGUUGUAGGACUGCAAUGUGGACUCAAAGAUUAUAGAAGAAUGAUUUGGGAAGAUCAGCCAAAGAGAGUAAUAGCCUCGUAUUUAAAAUAGUCUUUGUACCUAGCAGUAUCCUGAGUACGGCGGGACACGUGAAAUCCCGUCGGAAUCUGGGAGGACCAUCUCCCAACCCUAAAUACUCCCUAGUGACCGAUAGUGAACCAGUACCGUGAGGGAAAGGUGAAAAGCACCCGGGAGGGGAGUGAAAUAGAACCUGAAACCGUGUGCCUACAACAAGUUCGAGCCCGUUAAUGGGUGAGAGCGUGCCUUUUGUAGAAUGAACCGGCGAGUUACGUUAUGAUGCGAGGUUAAGUUGAAGAGACGGAGCCGUAGGGAAACCGAGUCUGAACAGGGCGAAUUAGUAUCAUGACGUAGACCCGAAACCAUGUGACCUACCCAUGAGCAGGUUGAAGGUGCGGUAAGACGCACUGGAGGACCGAACCAGGGCACGUUGAAAAGUGCUUGGAUGACUUGUGGGUAGCGGAGAAAUUCCAACGAACUUGGAGAUAGCUGGUUCUCUCCGAAAUAGCUUUAGGGCUAGCGUCGACAUUAGAGAUUCUUGGAGGUAGAGGCACUGUUUGGGUGAGGGGUCCAUCCCGGAUUACCAAUCUCAGAUAAACUCCGAAUGCCAAUGAAUUAUGGUCGGCAGUCAGACUGCGAGUGCUAAGAUCCGUAGUCGAAAGGGAAACAGCCCAGGACCACCAGCUAAGGUCCCAAAAUAAUUGUUAAGUGGAAAAGGAUGUGGGGUUGCACAGACAACUAGGAUGUUAGCUUAGAAGCAGCUAUUCAUUCAAAGAGUGCGUAAUAG